GUGUAAACAAAUUGAAUGUCAAAUACUAUUCAAUAAUUGCUAAAAAAAAGAAAAAUUAUUACAAGAUUCGAAUUUAAAGUGUUUUAUUUUUAACAAAUUAUAAAAAUUUCAACCAAAUCUUAUUUAUUAAUUGUUUUUGUAUAAAUUUAUUUAACAAUUUGUGAGAGUUAUACUUUAAAUAAAUGAAAAAAUUGACGAAAGUUUUAAAGAGCUUGUUGCCAUGUGUUAAUUAAAAAGUCAACGUAGUUUUUAGUUGAAAUUAAUUAAAUUGAGUUUAAUUAUCUUAAAUUAAACAAAUGUCUUUGGACUUGACGUUGUCUUUUGAAUCGGAAGCUGUGAAAACUAUCGACAAUUUACCAAAAUAUUGUGAUUUUGUAAGUUUUUGUUGGUGGAAGAAUUGUGUUUGGAAGACGACUAUCGUCUGUUGCACUAUGGCAAAUGCAGUGUAAUUGGAAAGUUGCAAGUAGCUUCUGAUGGUAAUUUUUUAUUGGAAAACGUUCGCAUAACUAAUUUGCCAAACGAAUAUUCACUACCCGAAGGCACGCUUAGUAUACGACUAUUAACCUUUUCAUAUUUUGGCACACAACUAAUUAACAAUAAGCACGUAGAAAUUACCGGAGAAUUAGUACUUUAUAAUACCAAAAAUCCUCAAUAUAAUCACUGUACACUUUUGACUUCCAAAGGUGUCAUACAGCAAUUAAACAAUACAACAAAUGAAGAGGAGUACAAUAAACUAUUGAAAUAUUUUAACGAUACCUACAAACCAGCCAUAAAAGUUUGGUUCGUACAACCGAUCAAUAGAGCUGGUGAUUUAAUACAACGUAAUCUGGAAUUAAGAAUGUUACACAAAUAAUUACUCUAGAAAAUGAGUCAAUAUUUUAUAGAAUCGAAAAGUAAACAACCGAUAUUUUUUAGUUUCAAUAGAAUUUUAGAAAACCAAGAGAUUUUAGAUUAUGAUUUGUUUAUAAAAGAUUUUCAAGAAAAUUUUGAGCAAGAGCAACAAGAUAAUUGGUGUAAAUAUUGGAAUAAACAGGGUGAAGAGCAAGUACUAAAGACAUGGAAUGAAAAGUACAAAGAUUAUUUGAAAACAGAACAGGAAAGUGAAGAGCAACAAGAUCAAGAACAAGAAGAAAAUUGUCCUAAAGAAGAUAAGGAAACAUUUGAAAAAGAAAUUGAAACAGCAAAUACAUCUACAUCAGCCGAUAUAUUAUUACCCGAAAAGUCGUGGGAAGAUUUAUGGCAAGAACAUAGAGAAGAAAUCUACUGUGAACAAUAUUUAAUAUUUACCACUAUAUAUUACAAUUAUUUUUUGGAUUUGAAAAAAUCUUGUGAAACUCCCCAACCCAUUGCCGAAGAUCUAGAAGAAGUAGAAGAAGAGCAGGAGGAAGAAGCAGAUUUGCUAAGCUCUCAGUCAAAACUAACAGAAGAAUUGGAACAAUUAAAAAUUUUAGGUUUACCCACAUCCUUCGGUGGCAGACCACAAAAUUCUAGUAAAAAACAAAAACCCCGUAACAAAACCAUACACUAUAGUGAUUAUUUCUCAGAUUCCGAAAUGGAUAAUGAUUCAAAUGGUAGUGAUUUUGAGGAAUAUGAUAAAGAGCAGGAUGCCAAAGAAAUAGAGGAGGACUCAUUACAUGGUGUGCAAGAGAAACCCAUUAGCAAGCAACAGAAGAAAAAAAGAAAUCGUAAAUUGAAAAAUGUUCCCUCUUUUAUCUUGGAAGAAAAGGGUCUUCUAAAGUAUUGGCGUAAACGUUUCAGUCUCUUUUCACGUUUCGAUGAGGGCAUACAGCUGGAUCGAGAAAGCUGGUUUUCUGUUACCCCAGAAAAAGUUGCCAAACAUUUAGCCGAACGUCUUAAGUGCAGCAUAAUUGUCGAUGGUUUUUGUGGCAGUGGGGGCAAUGUCAUACAGUUUGCCUUUACUUGCGAUAAGGUUAUAGCCAUUGAUAUAGAUCCCGUCAAAUUGGAAAUGGCUAAACAUAAUGCAGAAAUUUAUAAAGUUUCCCAUAAAAUCGAGUUUAUUUUGGGUGAUUUUCUUCAACUAGCAGCGGGGGGAAAACUUAAAGCUGACAUUGUAUUUUUAAGUCCUCCCUGGGGUGGUCCAAAAUAUAAAAAUAAAAAAGAAUUCGAUAUAGAGAAAUAUUUGUUACCCGUUAAAGCUUCCGAACUAGUAGCUACUUCCAGAAAUGUUUCGGAAAAUAUAGGUUUAUUUCUACCGCGCAAUUCAAGUGUUAAACAAAUUGUUAAACUUGCUGGCAUUGGCAAUCGCUGUGAAAUUGAACAUAACUAUUUGGAUUCACGUUUGGUGGCCAUUACCGCUUUGUAUGGCGAGGAAAUAUUGAGCAAAAAGGCAACAACUUAAGUGCAUUAUAGAAUAAGUUUAGUUUUUUUUUUUUCACAAACUAACUUAUAAUAUAACUAAUAAGAUAUUACAAAUAGACGAUAUAUUUUUAAUAAUAAGAAAACUAAUAAAUUAUAGCGUUAUUGGAAAACUAA